GUAAGGAAUAUUGGACAAUGGGGGAAACCCUGAUCCAGCCAUGCCGCGUGAGUGAAGAAGGCCUUCGGGUUGUAAAGCUCUUUCAGAUGUGAAGAUGAUGACGGUAACAUCAGAAGAAGCUCCGGCUAACUUCGUGCCAGCAGCCGCGGUAAUACGAAGGGAGCGAGCGUUGUUCGGAAUCACUGGGCGUAAAGAGUGCGUAGGCGGUUAUACAAGUCAGGAGUGAAAUCCCAGGGCUCAACCCUGGAAUUGCUUUUGAAACUGUAUAGCUAGAGUCCCGGAGGGGUUAAUGGAAUUCCGAGUGUAGAGGUGAAAUUCGCAGAUAUUCGGAGGAACACCAGUGGCGAAGGCGAUUAACUGGACGGGCACUGACGCUGAGGCACGAAAGCGUGGGGAUCAAACAGGAUUAGAUACCCUUGUAGUCC
rnacentral:rRNA from 1 species